AGUAAAAGUCGUAACAAGGUUUCCGUAGGUGAACCUGCGGAAGGAUCAUUACCGAGUUUUCGGGCUUCGGCUCGACUCUCCCACCCUUUGUGAACGUACCUCUGUUGCUUUGGCGGCUCCGGCCGCCAAAGGACCUCCAAACUCCAGUCAGUAAACGCAGACGUCUGAUAAACAAGUUAAUAAACUAAAACUUUCAACAACGGAUCUCUUGGUUCUGGCAUCGAUGAAGAACGCAGCGAAAUGCGAUAAGUAAUGUGAAUUGCAGAAUUCAGUGAAUCAUCGAAUCUUUGAACGCACAUUGCGCCCCUUGGUAUUCCGGGGGGCAUGCCUGUUCGAGCGUCAUUACAACCCUCAAGCUCUGCUUGGAAUUGGGCACCGUCCUCACUGCGGACGCGCCUCAAAGACCUCGGCGGUGGCUGUUCAGCCCUCAAGCGUAGUAGAAUACACCUCGCUUUGGAGUGGUUGGCGUCGCCCGCCGGACGAACCUUCUGAACUUUUCUCAAGGUUGACCUCGGAUCAGGUAGGGAUACCCGCUGAACUUAAGCAUAUCAAUAAGCGGAGG
rnacentral:rRNA from 1 species